UAUCAAGGAUCCCAGGGUAUGACGCAGGUAAAGGAUUUAGACAGCACAGGACCAUUUGAUCAUGGCAACAUUUGGUGAAUAAAGUGAAGGAAACGACCUCAGAUGUCCUUUUCCAUAUUGUGGGACUUAGAACUCAGAACUUGCAGCAAGAAUUCUGAUACAGAUUGGGUCUCAUCACGUUGGCAAGGUUGGUCUCAAACUCCUGACCUCAGGUGAUUUGCUCGCCUCAGCUUCUCAAAGUGCUAGGAUUACAGGUAUGAGCCACUGUCCCCAGCUUUCUUUGUCUUUUAAUGAUCGUUGUUUGUUUAAAGUCUGUUUCGUCUAAAAUUAGAAUAGUAACACUUGCUCUUUUAUGUUUUCUGUUCGCUUGGUAGAAUUUUCCAUCCCUUUGAGCCUAUGGGUGUCAUUCCUGUGAGAUGGGUGUCUUGAGGACAGCAUACAGUUGGGUCUUUCUUCUUUAUCCAAUCUGCCAGUCUGUGCCUUUCAGUUGGAGUGUUUAGCCAGUUUAUGUUCAAAAUUAAUAUUGAUAUGUGCAGAUUUGUUUUUCACUGUGUUUUUAGCUGGUUGUCAUGCAGACUUGGUUGUGUAGUUGUUUUAUAGUGUCAGUGGUCAUGUACUUAAGCAUGUUUUUGUGGUGACCAGUAGUGGUUUUUCACCUCUAUGUUUAGCAUUCUGUUAAGGACCUCUUGUAAGGCAGGUCUCAUGGUACUAAAUUUCCUUAGCAGUUGCUUGUCUGAAAAGGAU
rnacentral:lncRNA from 13 species